UACAGAGGUCUCAAGCGUUGUUCGGAUUCAUUGGGCGUAAAGGGUGCGUAGGUGGCGCUGUAAGUCAGGUGUGAAAUUUCGGAGCUCAACUCCGAAACUGCAUUUGAUACUGCGGUGCUUGAGGACUGGAGAGGAGACUGGAAUUCACGGUGUAGCAGUGAAAUGCGUAGAUAUCGUAAGGAAGACCGGUGGCGAAGGCGGGUCUCUGGGCCGAUACUGACACUGAGGAGCGAAAGCGUGGGGAGCGAACAGG
rnacentral:rRNA from 1 species